rnacentral:rRNA from 1 species
UGCUCUUAUGGGUGGCGAGUGGCGGACGGGUGAGGAAUACAUCGGAAUCUACCUUUUCGUGGGGGAUAACGUAGGGAAACUUACGCUAAUACCGCAUACGACCUUCGGGUGAAAGCAGGGGACCUUCGGGCCUUGCGCGGAUAGAUGAGCCGAUGUCGGAUUAGCUAGUUGGCGGGGUAAAGGCCCACCAAGGCGACGAUCCGUAGCUGGUCUGAGAGGAUGAUCAGCCACACUGGAACUGAGACACGGUCCAGACUCCUACGGGAGGCAGCAGUGGGGAAUAUUGGACAAUGGGCGCAAGCCUGAUCCAGCCAUACCGCGUGGGUGAAGAAGGCCUUCGGGUUGUAAAGCCCUUUUGUUGGGAAAGAAAAGCAGUCGAUUAAUACUCGGUUGUUCUGACGGUACCCAAAGAAUAAGCACCGGCUAACUUCGUGCCAGCCGCCGCGGGUAAUAAA